GGGCCUCUAGCUCAAUUGGCAGAGCAGCGGACUUUUAAUCCGCGGGUUGUGGGUUCGAGUCCCACGGGGCCCACC
rnacentral:tRNA from 2 species